GCCCUGUUGAAGAGUCCCACAAUAGGACGGAACGGCUGUCCAGUGC
rfam:Schistosoma haematobium scaffold365_27, whole genome shotgun sequence.